rnacentral:rRNA from 1 species
AUGACGCGCCGGCGUCCACUGCACCGUAGACGUGCUGCGACCACGACGACGACGCAUGCCCGCCGGCAAGCCCGGCGGAGCCUUCUUCCAUGCGCGCUGCCGCACACUCCAUCAACCCAGACGUGCUGCGACCACGACGACGACGCAUGCCCGCCGGCAAGCCCGGCGGAGCCUUCUUCCAUGCGCGCUGCCACACACUCCAUCAACCCAAGCAAGCACACGCACGCGACCCAAGACUCAAGACUAACCGUGCAUAUUGAUUCAUCUCUCUAUUCUUCUUUUAUCUUCUUCGUCGUGCAGAUCGAAGAUUCAAAGAUCAACAGCCAAGCGAGCAUUCGGCCAAGAAAGAGGCGGCACCCAGGAGAGCGUGCGCCCAUGAUGGCAGCCGACGGCGCCCUCGCACAAGCAGGCCACAUGUAG